rnacentral:tRNA from 1 species
GAGUGCAUAGCUCAGUGGUAGAGUGCAUAUCUAGUAUGCAUGAGGUCCUGGGUUCAAUCCCUAGUACCUCCA